rnacentral:rRNA from 1 species
UUUCACAAUGGGGGNAACCNUGAUGGAGNGACGCCGCGUGGAGGAUGNAGNCCUUCGGGUUGUAAACUCCUGUCAUUGGNGNNCAAGAUCGGCCGGGUAACUCCGUUGCCGGUUUGCUNGUANCNGAAGAGGAAGGGACGGCUAACUNUGUGCCAGCAGCCGCGGUAAUACAGAGGUCCCAAGCGUUGUUNGGAUUUAUUGGGCGUAAAGGGUGCGUAGGCGGCGGAGUAAGUUGGGUGUGAAAUCCCGGGGCUCAACCUCGNAAUNGCAUUCAAUANUGCUUCGCUCGAGUACUGGAGAGGAGGCUGGAAUUUACGGUGUAGCAGUGAAAUGCGUAGAUAUCGUAAGGAAGGCCGGUGGCGAAAGCGAGCCUCUGGACAGUUACUGACGCUGAUGCACGAAGGCCAGGGGAGCAAACGGGAUUAGAUACCCCGGUAGUCCUGGCAGUAAACGGUGCGCGUUUGGUGUGGGGGGAUUCGACAAUCUCCGCGCCGGAGCUANCGCGUUAAACGCGCCGCNUGGGAAAUACGGUCG